AAAUAAAUAAAUAAAUAAAAUCUUGCCUAUAUCUGAUUGAUUGCACUCUUAUUAACAUGGAUCACAAAAUCAAGGUGAUCCUAAACCAGGCUAGGACCCCAAGUGCAAUCCACUGCCAAAUCAUGGCCAGAAACAAGAGCCCAAAUUAGUAAUAUAACAAUUGUCCUACCACAUAAUAAGACAAAUAAAACAGAAAGAAAUCAAUAAAAUACUUUAUGCAAAUACUAAAUAGAGGCAGGAUAGUGGCACCAAAUAUAAUAAUUGAAUGCUAAGCUAAAUGUUUACCCUUAGUUCUUCAUAUGCCCAAUA
rnacentral:misc_RNA from 1 species